UGUUAAGGCUAGGCACUGGCUGUAUUGAUCUGACGAGAAUUUGAUAGGGCUCAAAUUCAAAAGCAAACUAUAACUUUGCUAGAAUUUGAGCUUCAGUAUUUUUAUACUUUAAACUGUUGGACCAAUUGAUGUCAUAACAAAUCAUCCAGAGGAAAAGAAGUUGGAAGAAGAGGAUGAAGCCUUCAACUUGCUUCCCAGUGCUGUAAAGAGUACAUGAUUGGUCUUGCAACUAUGUUGUAUAGCAUACAGUUGAUUCCCCCCCCCUUCUUUUUAUGCUAGACAUUCAUCCAUGCAAUUUAAAUAUCUUGAUUUUUUUUGUGCCGAGCUGUAAAGGGUACAUGAUUGAUCUUUUUUUUUUGUGUUGAUUUGUUUUGUAAUAACUUUCAACUUAUCACUAGGCACUAGUUUAACUUUAUUUCAUAUUGAAAUUGAAAUAUUUUUGUA